UACAGAGGGUGCGAGCGUUAAUCGGAAUUACUGGGCGUAAAGCGUGCGUAGACGGUUAUUUAAGUCGGGUGUGAAAGCCCCGGGCUCAACCUGGGAAUUGCAUUCGAGACUGAAUAGCUAGGGUACGGUAGAGGGAAGCGGAAUUUCCGGUGUAGCGGUGAAAUGCGUAGAUAUCUGGAGGAACACCGGUGGCGAAGGCGGCAUCCUGGACCAUUAUUGACGCUGAGGAGCGAAAGCCAGGGGAGCAAACGGG
rnacentral:rRNA from 1 species